rnacentral:miRNA from 1 species
UGGUCACAGCUGUUUGCAC